rnacentral:rRNA from 1 species
UACGAAGGGGGCUAGCGUUGUUCGGAAUUACUGGGCGUAAAGGGCGCGUAGGCGGCCACCGCAAGUCGACUGUGAAAUCUCCGGGCUUAACCCGGAAAGGUCAGCCGAUACUGCGGGGCUAGAGUGCAGAAGGGGCAACUGGAAUUCUCGGUGUAGCGGUGAAAUGCGUAGAUAUCGAGAGGAACACCUGCGGCGAAGGCGGGUUGCUGGGCUGACACUGACGCUGAGGCGCGAAAGCCAGGGGAGCGAACGGG